UACAGAGGGUGCGAGCGUUGUUCGGAAUUAUUGGGCGUAAAGGGCGCGUAGGCGGUGCCACAAGUCACUUGUGAAAUCCCCGGGCUUAACUCGGGGCCUGCAGGCGAAACUGUGGUGCUGGAGUAUGGGAGAGGUGCGUGGAAUUCCCGGUGUAGCGGUGAAAUGCGUAGAGAUCGGGAGGAACACCCGUGGCGAAGGCGGCCAUCUGGACCAGCACUGACGCUGAGGCACGAAAGCGUGGGGAGCAAACAGG
rnacentral:rRNA from 1 species